rnacentral:rRNA from 1 species
UACGAGUACCCCAAGCGUUAUCCGGAAUCAUUGGGCGUAAAGGGUGUGUAGGUGGUCUAGUUAGUCUUCUGUUAAAUUCUUCGGCUUAACCGGGGUCCUGCAGAGGAAACGGCUAGACUAGAGUAUGCAAGGGGUGAAUGGAACUCAUGGAGUAGGGGUGAAAUCCGUUGAUAUCAUGGGGAACACCAAAAGCGAAGGCAAUUCACUGGUGCAUUACUGACACUGAAACACGAAAGCGUGGGUAGCGAACUGG